GACGAACGCUGGCGGCGUGCUUAACACAUGCAAGUCGAACGGAAAGGCCCUGCUUUUGUGGGGUGCUCGAGUGGCGAACGGGUGAGUAACACGUGAGUAACCUGCCCUUGACUUUGGGAUAACUUCAGGAAACUGGGGCUAAUACCGGAUAGGAGCUCCUGCUGCAUGGUGGGGGUUGGAAAGUUUCGGCGGUUGGGGAUGGACUCGCGGCUUAUCAGCUUGUUGGUGGGGUAGUGGCUUACCAAGGCUUUGACGGGUAGCCGGCCUGAGAGGGUGACCGGCCACAUUGGGACUGAGCUACGGCCCAGACUCCUACGGGAGGCAGCAGUGGGAAAUAUUGCACAAUGGGCGGAAGCCUGAUGCAGCAGCGCCGCGUGCGGGAUGACGGCCUUCGGGUUGUAAACCGCUUUCGCCUGUGACGAAGCGUGAGUGACGGUAAUGGGUAAAGAAGCACCGGCUAACUACGUG
rnacentral:rRNA from 1 species